rnacentral:rRNA from 1 species
GACCUGGCCGGGCGGUCCGCCUCACGGUGUGUACUGUCUGGCUGGGUUCUACCUCUUGGUGAGCCGGCAUGCCCUUCACUGGGUGUGUCGAGGAACCAGGACUGUUACCUUGAGAAAAUUAGAGUGUUUAAAGCAGGCUAACGCCUGAAUACAUUAGCAUGGAAUAAUGAAAUAGGACGAGCGAUCCUAUUUUGUUGGUUUCUAGGAUUGACGUA